GAAUCAUUAUUAGCGCGCCAUUCCUCUCUUCUUUUCGCUGUCUGACGCCGGUUGGAAAUACCAAAUAAGGGGAGAGCACUCUCUACCUGAUGUUUCCCAACAGAGUUGAGUUCUUCCUCUUACUGUGGUAAGCUGGUAGUGCAUCGAAUACUAUCAAAGCUGCAGUAUUCUUAUCCAUACGGACUACAUCACCUCUCCAGCGUAGAAGAUGUCUACAGGCAUCUAGUAUAUCAAGCAAAACGCUGGAUACGACCUUAUAUGUGAUGUUAAGAAGGCUUAUUCCACGGUAGUUGGCACGGACUGUAAGAUCGCUUUUUUGUGGAUUGGGCAGAGCAUACUUCGGUUCCAAUCGUCGGGCCUGCUUUCGUCCGACCAUAUUCUGCAAAGAAGCUGAUGCAUUCACCUGAUUAGUUCUUCACCGCCGAGUUUUGAGUAGCUUGGCAGGUAAUCCAUCGGUCCCCGCGGCUUUGUUGUUUCUAAGUGGCGAUUGCUUUUCUAUCGUCAUCAAUUGGAGUUUCAGGUUCACCUUCCCCGAGUGUUUCAUUUUCACCGCCAUUAUUAGGCAUAUUCUGGGCAUUUCCGUAUAAACCUACUUAUUGAGUGCUUUUCAUCUCCUUUUCCCAAUGUAAUUAUAUAGCAGCUGACAAAAAAAUGUUUAGCUGUUUAGUAUAAGAACCAAGUAUAACCGCGACCUUCCGCGUAAAACGGGUCAAAAAAAAAUUAAGAAAAAAGCUAAAAGUAAUGCCAGCGAAGAAAGAAAGUAAGCAUUGUUUAGGUAAUUGUGAAGAGUAAGUUUCCUAAGCUUGCUUGAUGGUACAUUUUGGUAGCAUUUUGAUUUGUUAUAUUCCCUUUGGUUAAAGGAAUCUAAGGCAUUUAUUGAAGUCAGUGGCGCGGUCAUUAUCACAAUUGGCACAAUUGAUGGGAGUGCAUUUGUGUGGGAGAGGGGUGAGGUCAUACAUUGCACACGUGGGAUCGUUCCGACAAUGCUUGAUUGUGUGACGCAGGCUUUUUUGUUUCGCAUUGAGAUGGGAAAAGUACACUCUUAAACGUUCUUAGUGCCCAGAAAUUGUAAUGGUUUCAAGCAAACGGAUGAACCGUCGAAAGUUAGUAACAACUCUGCUAGGAACCAUUCUGUUUUUAAAUUGUUUAAUAAAUUUGUGCGGCGUAAUGACACCUUUCGAAGCAAGUUCUUUGGAAAUAACGUCAUCUGAUAAUUUUUUUAAAUAAAGGGUGUAAAGCGUUCUUUGUACAGAAUUUAAAUUUUCAUAAGAUUUACAUUUCACUUCAUAUAUGUCCGGUAUUUCUUUAAUUGAGACAAACUCUUCUGCAGUUUUAUUAUCUUUUGCUUAAAAUAGUAAACUACCGUCUCAUAGCUCAGGUAUAAUAUCAACACCGCUGCUUAUUACUUGAAGAGAUCUAUGCUCAGCGAAGCACGACUAAUGUGAUAUAGGAUUUUUCCAUUGGAUUCAGAUAUGAUCAGAUAUUUCGGACUAGGUAAUGGUAUUGUAGAAUUUAGUAGAAAAUCUUUUUUUGUUUGAAUGGAAACUGGUUGCCGACGGAGCAAAACCAAUGGUCCCCAAAGCUGAUGUGGAACUUCCAGGGCUCUGCUUCAAAAAUGUUUUCACGAGCAUUAAGAUGUCCAUGCCAACAUCAAGGAAAGCUCAGACCGUUCUAGUACCGCUUCGUUAGUGCUCAGCGCAGAGGUCCACAAUACAAUCUUAGGAAGGAUGCUCUCGAGCAAACCUUUCUAAGAAAGGAAGAAUGCAGACAAUGGUGACUUAGAUUAAAUAAUAAUUGAUGUUGUAAGUCGGGCGGCAUGUUUGAGGAUGCAAACCUAAGCAGACCCCAUAAUCUCCACCUACAGAUGUCGCUUCAACUGGUGAAAAAUAUGACCUAUCUCUCUUGGGAUGCGUUGUUGAUCUCCGUCCCGCUGUAUAUUCCACUUUUUGAUGAAAUGCAUAAAAAGGCGACGUUGCUGUUUUAAGCUUCUCUUUUACUUUUGAAGAUCAGCAGCGCCGACAUCAGGGGAAGUUUUCUCUUGUGAAGACCACAAGUCCGAGGCAUUGGACCCUCCACAGCAACAACAACAAAAGAGAAGUUAUAUAAACAUAUAUAUAUAUAAAUAUA